GACAGAGGGUGCAAACGUUGUUCGGAAUCACUGGGCGUAAAGCGCGUGUAGGUGGCUUGGAAAGUCGGGCGUGAAAUCCCGGGGCUCAACCCCGGAAGUGCACUCGAAACUGCCUCGCUAGAGUCCUGGAGAGGAAGGUGGAAUACUUGGUGUAGAGGUGAAAUUCGUAGAUAUCAAGUAGAACACCGGUGGCGAAGGCGGCCUUCUGGACAGUGACUGACGCUGAGACGCGAAAGCGUGGGGAGCAAACAGG
rnacentral:rRNA from 1 species